GGAAGGCAUAUGCAUCUGGUGGUGCGGCCGGGCUUCAAACCCGGUAGGGGGUGUCAGACACUCUCUGGCAGGUUCGACUCCUGCUGCCUUCCG
rnacentral:tRNA from 1 species